rnacentral:lncRNA from 1 species
GACAACACACAUGAAUUGAAUUGAUAAAAGAAUCUUCCCAUCAAAGCCAGAAAUGAGUGGAAAUUAACUUUAACAAAGUAAGCAACUGGAGAGCCGGGCAGAAGAAACCCACUGCAUACUUUGUGCCUGUCGGAGACGCAGAGCAAAGUGUUUGGGCCCAUCAGUGAGCGCAAGCAUCCAAGCCACCGCCUCUGUCCCUCACCAUUUUCCAGCCUCAGUUUCCUCCUCUGCAAAUAAAC